UACGGGAGGCAGCAGUGGGGAAUAUUGCACAAUGGGCGCAAGCCUGAUGCAGCCAUGCCGCGUGUAUGAAGAAGGCCUUCGGGUUGUAAAGUACUUUCAGUCGUGAGGAAGGUGUUAAGGUUAAUAACCUUAGCAAUUGACGUUAGCGACAGAAGAAGCACCGGCUAACUCCGUGCCAGCAGCCGCGGUAAUACGGAGGGUGCGAGCGUUAAUCGGAAUUACUGGGCGUAAAGGGCACGCAGGCGGUUAAUUAAGUUGGAUGUGAAAUCCCCGGGCUUAACCUGGGAAUGGCAUUCAAGACUGGUUAGCUAGAGUCUUGUAGAGGGGGUAGAAUUCCGAUGUGUAGCGGUGAAAUGCGUAGAGAUGUGGAGGAAUACCGGUGGCGAAGGCGGCCCCUGGACAAGACUGACGCUCAUGUGCGAAAGCGUGGGGAGCGAAACAGGAUUAGAUACC
rnacentral:rRNA from 1 species